CUUGCGGGUUGGUCCUGGGGCUGGCUGCUUGCGGGAUGGUCCUGCCUGCUGAAGGGCUAGUCCUGAGGCUCUUUUACGUUUCGGAGCUGGCUGAUGCUCAUCCUCCUCUUCAAACUCGGUGUCAGACUCUGAAAUGUUAUCCUCACUUUCCGAAACUAUUUCCUCUGCAUCACCAUCAAAACCCUCUGUCUCUUCAAAUAUCAACUGUAAGGCAGUCUGAACAGAGAAUCGCUUUGCCAUCUUGAUCAGUUGUGGUAUGGAACCACGCUGACAGAGCUUUUUUAUAGUGUCAGGUCCCGAAGCUUGAUAGUGUUGGGUGCUUCAAUUUUGCAACCUUGUGCGGGAACAGUGGGUGCACACUGUGGGUGCUCACACCAAGGGCCCAUUCACCUGCUUCACCUGCUUCACCUCUCUCUCUCUCUCUCUCACACACACACACACACACACACACACACACACACACACACACACACACACACACACACACACACACACACACACACACACACACACACACACAGAGAGGAAGAAGGGAAAA